ensembl:lncRNA
GCUACUUUCUAGAGGCUACCUAUCCCCAAAGUCUAUUCCUCUAACACUGUGCUCAGUUCUGGUGAGUUAUAAAGCCCUUAGCAUAGGCAAAUUGCUUGGGUAUAUACUGUCAGUCUUAUCAACCUAAAGCCAAACUGAGUCUUGCUGGAAAUGUAGAAAAAAGUGAAAAUUUAGAACAGAACAGUUUACUCAGAUGAAAUGAAUGAGUCAGUUAGGAUGACCACUUCUUUGGAACAUCGCCAUUCUUGUUCUUGACAAAAUCAGAAGCUUUGAGGAAUGGAUGAGCAGUUCCUUCCCUGCACUCCAGAACAUGAUGACUUGCAGCAAAUAUUUUUCGUCUGCAAUGGAGGGCACUGACAUCUGUCAGAGGGAAUUUUCGAUGAAGGGGACUGACCACUCACAGCAGGCAGUGAGCAGAGAAGAGGCAGAUGCAGCUCCAUCCCUGUGAGGUGCAUCCACUGGCAGUGUACUGCAAGACUGUGAAGAUGAAGUGAGGCCUAAAAGGUAACCUCUCUGUUGUGAAAACUGAGAGGAAAUAAAAAGAUGCAAGUUGCUAGUGCGUGUCCAAUCUGCCUGUAGUCCUUGGGAGGAUGACAAUUAUGUGAUACCCAGAAGAAGACAGAAUACAUUCAGGGUUUCUGGAUGUCUCCAGUAAUACAGGCUGAUGGAGAAAUGAGUUCCUCCUCCUGCUCUGCUUCUCACAUGCCACCACAAGAAAAGAUUGUCAUUUUCUGUUUGAACUGGACUUAUGUGACUUAGAUUAUAUCUGCCCAAUGUGUUGUGAAUUUGUUGAAGUGUGUUUAAAGACAUGUUGGCAUGUCCAGCUGUUAAAUGAAAAAUGUGUUUUACUGCCGCACUGUAGGGGAGCCUUAGAGAAGUGCAGUCAAUCUCAAUUAAUAUGAAAAGGAUCUAGCCAUGUGUAUACUGAAAAAGGUUUGCUUUCUGCCAUCAAAAUGCUCCCCAGCUGGAUAUUGUUAAUAAAUAAUUGUCUGGAUACACUUACUACCGUACAGUUCAAAAUAUUCACAUUUUAUGGGUAGUCAAACAAAUUAGGAAGCAGAAAAAUUGGAAGAUCUGAGUUACCAUUCCUGGAUAUUUCAAGACAUUUUAUGUAAACUGAUGAUACGAAAGAUGACUACUAUGGUUGUACAUGAAAUACUGAAGUUCUCUAGCUGCUGCCUGCUCUAAAGGGACUUCUCUGUUUAAAUCUACACAGAAUUUUCCUCAGAUUUCCUGGUUUGAGGGUUCAACACCUGAAUCUUUUGUUAUUUCUUUUUCUAAAAGUAUCUCUUGAUAUAAUGUAGUGAACUAUUGAUCCUAUUACUUAGAAACUCAUGUAAAAUCCUAUUAAAUGUUACUGCAGUGCAUUUUAUUUAGAUGAAGGCUGUGUAUCAUAGCACAACAAAUCUGUGUUUCCUUCAACUAUGAAAAAAUCUAACCAGUAAAAGGGAAGUAAUACACUUAAUAUUGAUCCACUUCAUUACAUUUUACACAUACAAACAUACAUUAUAAUUAUUUUCUAGGCCCUUUUUGUUGUGCAAAUUCUUUUCAUCACAGCUAGGAUAUCCAAAGAUGCUUAAAGAACUUGGAUGCUCAAAUUCCAUUUGUUUUUCUCCACUUGCUUCUGCUUACUGCAGAAUUUUUGCAGUGGAGAGAAGUCUGGGAAAUGUUUAACAGAGAGCUCACCUCCAAAAUAUUAUGCUCACUUUUUUUCUUCUCUUAGAUUCCAGGAGUUCAGAGCAUGGAAGGAAUUUGUGCUUAGUUGAUGUUUCCAAGGUUUUUGUCUGAAAGACUUGAGCAAUUCCUCCCUUCUUAGUAUUCCAGGACUUUCUUUUGGUUGAACUAACUUUCUAGCUGGCGAUUUAAGAUCAGUUCUGUGAGUCACCCCGAAUCCACUCUUGAGCCUCAGUAUCUAAGAUGGAAAUUAAAAGUAAAAGCCUGAUUUUAUCAGCUGAAAUCAGAACUCAGAGUGGUUUUAAUUCCAACUCAAAAGUUCAAAUUAAAAUCAGGUCCAGACACAGGCAUUUGAGUUAUAAACACUUCUUCAUCUGUAACCUAACAGAUCUUUUGAGGAGAUGAAAAGGUCUUAUGAAAGACAGGCCUAAGCUUAGCUAAAUGGUCAAGCAAAAUAUUGUAAGAUGGCCCUACAUGUACAGUCUGAGCUAUGGCUUUUGUUCUAACAUAUCAAAAUAGUAUUUACAAUCAGCUGCACAGCCGUAGGCUAGUUAGCUUUCUUGUGCUGCUAAGUAAGCUGGGCUAGGACUCUUCCAGUAAAAACUGAAAGGAUGGUUUAGAAAAUGAAUAAUAGCAAGGAACAGUGAUCCACUCCAGUCCUGUCCACAACAAUCCCACUCUACAUAUAUCCUCUGGUAAUUUAAAAAUAUGUUGUGUGAUUUCUGGUGAAAUAUUCUGUUUGACUGUAGAUAGGCUGUAGAUAUAGGUUUUUCCACAGAGUCAUCUGGCUCACACGGCUUGGUAUGAACAAUAUAGUUAAAUGUAAGAACCUGGAUCAUAGAAUAGUAGAAUAUCCCGUGUUGAAAGAGAUGCAUAUGUCCAACUCCUAAAGUCAAGGCAGAGAGGAAGCCCUGCAAAUGGAGGACUGAGAAAAUGUAGUAACAACAAAAAGCCUCAAGGGAAUGGCAGAUAAUGAUCUGAGGCUUAGUUAUUAAAAAUAAAAUGUAUGAUCACAUUAUGUAUGAUGUAUUGUAAUACGUAUAUAUAAAAUAUAACAUGUAUAUAUGUAUGCAUAAUAUGUAUAUAUAUGUAUAUAUACAACACAAUAUAUAUAUAUAUAAUAUGUAUAUAUAAUGUACGAUCAUAUUAUGAUUACAUAUCUCUGUACGUGGACACAGUAUAUUGUCACUCACUAUCAGUGCCAGGUUAAAGACUAAGGUUCCUUAGAAACUGGACUGUAGCUUAUACAGAACUGUGUUGUGCCCCAUGGAUACACCCUACAGAUGAGGUUCAUUACAGGCAGUAAACUGCUUAAGCUAUUUAAUUGAAAUGUGCUUUUUGCUGUAGUUAGGUAAUGACCUGUUGUUCUGAAUCAGCCACCCACAGGAAAUGAAACAGUUGAGUUAUCCACUUGGAGAUGGAGCCUUGAUGUCGCUAUCACCUUGGAGAUAAUACUGCAGUGGUCAGGGUGCAAGAAUAGGACAUCAUACUUUAGGGUUAAAUAAUUUUUGUGAAAGCACAGUAACUUUAGAAUAGGAGAACAUUCUGGUCAUGGCAUUGCACACCUGAGUUGUAGUAAUGCUUCUACUCACAGAAUGGUUAAAACUGGAAGAGAUUUCUGAAGAUCCUGUGUUUCAUUCCUCCUGCUCAAGCAGAGACAACUUGAGCAGGUUGCCCACGAACAUGUACAGGUGGCUUUUGAUGGUGUUAAAGGAAAAUGACUCCAUAGCUUCCCUGGGUAACCUAUGCCAGUGCUCCGUCACCUGCACAAUAAAGAAGUAGUUCCUGAUGUUUAUAUGGAAUGUCUUAUGUUCCAAUUUUUGCCCAUUGCCUCGUGUCCUGACACUGAAAAGAGCUUCACUCUAUCUUAAUUGCACACCGUCUCAAGAUAUUUUAUAAACAUUGAUAAGUUACCCCCAGAAACUCCUCCAGGCUGAAGAGUCCCAGCUCUCAGACUCUCUUCAUAGGAGGAGUGCUCGAUCAUCUUGGCAGUUAUGCUGAACAUUUUCCAGUACAUCCAGGUCUCUCCUGUACUGGGACCUCAGAACAGAAUUCCACAUGCAACCUCACCAAAGCAGAGGUGAAGGAUCACCUCUCUUGACCUGCUGACAAUACUUUGCCUAAUGCAAACAAGAAUACCACUAGCACUGUUAGUGACAAGGACUACUAUUAACCUCUAGGGUACUCCACUCAUUGUUGGCCUCUAAUAGAUUUUGCACCAGUGACCAUUUCUCUCUGCAUCUGGACAUUCAACUACACGUAGUUAAGCUCAUAUAUAAUCCUCUGUCAGGGAGAGUAAGCAGGGCCUUAUAAUGUUAGUAAGAACACUCAAUCAAAAAUACUUUUUACUCAUAGGUCCAGGGCUUCGAUGUGAAGCAUCUUUGCUUGUGAGUUCCAGGCCAUGAGGGACACCAAGGUAUAGACUCUGCUGAGCUCUGCUGAGGGUAGAACCCUGGCAGGAGCUUCUUGGGCUGCUGCAGACCAAGUCAGAGAAGAAGAGCUCACGUGGGCUAAGACACAACUUUCUUAACUGAUUUAAAUUUUAGACUCCAAUGUUCUAUUUUUUAUUAGCCCACAGAUUAUAUUAGUCCAUGUUAAAGAAAGGUCUUUGAAACAUAGAGGCUUAAACAAAUAUCUUUGAGAGAAAUGAAAGAUUUCCUUGGAUAUAUGUGCUUGUUUAGCUGAAUUUUACACAUGAAAUACACAUGCACUGGACUUGGUCUGCAAUGGUUUAUUGCCCAUCUUGGUCUGCAAUGGUUUAUACCUAUCUAGCAGCAAAAUGUUAUUGUUCAGUGAGAUUAUUCUGACUGAUAACCAGAGUUUUAAAAGCAAUAACAAGGAAUUAGUAUGUUAUUGUAGAAGAAAAGUUUUAACUUUGCAAGGCAGGAAAAUUCUUAUCUUGCAGAAAAGUCUAUACAUAAUUCUGCACCUGUCAAGAAACAAAUUCAAAAUUCAGUUGAUUUUAACAGUAAGCUUUCAGAUUUUGAAAAAGGGAUUUUGUUUUACUAAAUAUUUGUCUCAGAAAUAUGCAGCUAAAGAAGAAUUAAGGGAACAGUUUGUGUGUGUUGCUUCUCUGCACCAAACAGAAGAGCAUAUCUGCUUUACUUUUUCUCAAGGUUUCCUAUCACAAACAUUCAUUGUGUAAAGUGAGCUCUGACACUAGUUGUGUUCUUUCUGAUUAAUUUAGAUACUGUUAAUACUGCUAUUGUUGUUUUUAUGUAUAGCUUCUGUAUAUGAAGUCCUAUAAAUGUAUAGGACUGUGAAAAAAACAUGGGCCAUUUCUCUAUGGUUUAGUGUAUGAAAGGAAAUGGUCUCAUAUCUUUGUUAAGAAAAAAAUGUCAUUGAAAGCAAAUAAAAAACUAGAAUCUCUCACAAGGGGCACAUUUAAUUUUGGAAAUUAACAAGUGAAAGCCAAAAUUAUAUUUGAAAAUGCUCAGUUUAAUUAAUGUCAGUUUUACCUAUUCAUAUGCAGCAAAAAUUUUGACUAUUUUGGAAAUAGUUAUUACCAAUAAACAAAAAUUUUAAUAUUAUGCUAUUCCAACUUAUCCAUGGCCCUUUUAUUAUUAUGAGUGUUACUGAUUAAAAAUGUGAGGCAGAAACAUGAUAUAGGUAUAUGACCUUGAUUUUAAUGCCAUACAUUUUGAAUAUAGAUUAGUCAUCUCAGCAUUUACAAAUCAGGCUGAAGUUUGACAUAUUCAUAAAACAACAAACAAGUAGAGAAUUGAUUCAUAGAAGUUGUGGGCAAUUAAUACACAUAGAAAUGAGAAAAUGAAGAAUAGGUAUUUUACUGUGAAUAAGUCUCCUACAGUAAAGUCUGAUAAAACACAUAGACAUUUUGUGUAGAGAUGUUUUUUGUUUCUUACUUUCUUUCUUUUUUUUUUUUUUUUGCUAUAUACUAGAUCUGAGAUUAUUAUUCCUGCAGGAAAAUUUAUAACCUACCUUCAACAAAAGUAAUGUCAUUCCAUAAAUUAAGUUCAAAUCAUAAUUUUCAUUCAGGCUAUGCUGUCUUUAACUGGUAAACUCCUGGCAGCCUCUGAGGAGUCUGCAGUGCUGCUGCCACAUUGCUUUUGACUUAAAGGAAAUAGCCAUGAAUCACUUUUAUUGAUGAUCAUGGUUGUGUAGCAUCUCUAUAGCUGCUGCCUUCAUAAAUGAGGGACAAAAGAGGGUACAUGUUUUGUGUCUUUUUAUCUUCUGCUAUUCAUGAAACUGAGUGAGAGGAAAGAGAACAACUGGAGUGAUUCUGUGCCCAAGACAAUUGGUCUUCACUCACUGUGGCCCAGGCAAGCCGUAAGGUUGGACACUCACAAGGGCCACAAUGACCAAAAAAAACCAUUAAGAUUCAUACUGACAGCACUGAAAGACCAGUAGUGGAAGGAAGAUAGUUCACUGUCACAUCCAGUCCAGCUGGGAGCGAUACUCUAGCAUCGCUUAAAAGCAGAUUUAAACUGUCGUCUUCAAUGAGCCCACAACUGGAAUUCAUGUAUUGGGCCCCCAUGACUCUAUACAUACAAGUGCUGAUGGCAUUAAUGAGUGGGGGAAAAAAAGUUGUUUGUGAAGAACUGCUUCUAAACAGAAUGCUUUUCAAACUUUUCCACACAGCAUCAGCUUUUUUUUAAUGAUAAUAUUUUUAUCUUCCCCUAAUCCACUUAAGGCAAGACAUAACAUUCUUGUUCUGUUAUUUUACUGGAAUUCUUAUUUGUUCUAAUUUAUUUUGAUGUCUCCACACCACUUCUUUAAUCCAAUUUCAGUUUGAGCAGCAGUACAGUAACUGGUUUAUAGUCAUGAAGUGGCUUGUGCCAAAUUAGAAAAAACACAUUUUUGUUAUUUUAGUGAAGCUGAACUUGUUAGGGAAAUUACAGGGGUAAUACUAUGACAAAAUCUGCCACUGAACUGUCAUUCUUCUAAGACCAAUACUCAAACACUUUAUAUGGGCAUACAAGGUCCAAAAACUGUUUUAAAACCUCAGUGGAAAAGAGCCAAGAGAAAAUCAACAAAGAGCAACAAAAAUCCCCGAAGAGGGAUUUUGUAUUUCCAUGUGUCCUUUAUAGGAAAUUUAUUUUGCAAGUUUUUGAAGCUUACCACAAACGAGGGAUAAAAAAUGUUUUAAAGUAGCAGUACUACAGAAGUGGCAGUGAUCCCUGUUCACCAUUUUAAUAUGGCCACUGUGCAAUCCCAUAGUGUUUCUGUUUUUUUUUUUUUUUUUUUUUUUCAAAAGUGUGAAUCUAAAUCUAAACAGAGCAAGGGGCUUUAUCAUAUAGUUUCUUUGGAGACAAGAGAUUGCCUUAAAGUUCUGUAGCCAUGAAUUCUUGGGUAAAAGGGACAUCACCAGAAAGGAAUUUAGAAGUGCAGCAAAGUGUUGAACAAACUGUGCAUGCGCCAUACACUUAUAUUUACCUUGGAACCAAUGUCCAGGUGAGAUGAAGACUUUCCUGAGUGGACAGAAUUAUAGGAAAAGCAUGUCUGCAGAACAGAUCCUAAACCAUUGACAAGUAAAGAACAAUGACAGAAUGGACAAAUGGACAAAUAUUUUUGAGUUUUUAAGAAAUAUAUUCUUUUGCCAGAACUAACAUUUCCUCAUUUUAAUAAUAUUUGUGACACACACAAAAAAGGAACGUUUAUUAUUAGUGACUGCAAAUAUAUGAAUAUGUAUACCAUUCUUAUUCUAUUAUUUACAGAUGAGGAUUACGUAUCUGAAAUAUAUGUAGAUUGCUCAGAAAGUAAUGCUUCCUACUUAUUUCCACGGAAAUAAAGAGCCUGCAUGACGUGCUUGUAAAAAUCUGCACUAGUGGAGGUGAACCACUGUCAACAUUGCAGUUGUGGAAAUGCAUCACCCACCACCUCAAUGUGCUUGGAUUCAUUGUUUGGUAUCCGUGACUGCUCAGCAAGUGUUGAUGAAUGUCAAUGGGUGCAAUUUUUUUCAUAUGGAUGAAUUCAAUUUAAUACCUUUACUUCAUACACACUUCCAUGACAGAUACCGUUUUGUCAGACUGCCCCUCUGCUGCCAUCUGUCACACGGCAAUAAAAUAUAACAGAAUAUUGUUGAGAAGGUUCAACCUUUACUGUCAUACCACCACCAUCUGUCUCUGGUCUUGUGGGCCAAUAUAGUAAAACAGAAGGCAUUUCUUUCAGAGCAGCCCUUGUAUAUGUAAAAAUAUGUAAUUACUCUGUAUAAACAAGAAAGUGUAGGUUAGAACUGGGAAAAUCUAGUCAUAUUUUUACACAAAUAUCCUCCUUACAGAAUUGAGAAACUGUGAGCUCCAAGAUAGGUGACCCAAAUGGUUAUGAAGCAGAAAGAGCAAGGCAGACACAUGAAGGGAUUUGAAAAGAAAGAAGUUUAUGUUUGAUAUCACAGCAGAGGAAAGUAGAGAAAUGAUCAAAGUGACAGGCAGAUGAAAUGAUUUAUGUCUAUAAGUGAAAUCUAUAUUCCUUAAAACUAAAAAAAAAAAAACCCACAAAUCUGGCACAGCAUGGUUGAAGAUGUUUCCAGGAUUGCACAGAGGAAGAAUACUUAGUUUUGUCAUCCACAUGUAAAACUCUGUUUGUGGCUAGAACUGAAGACUGCACAAUGAUAUGCCAAAGUGAAAGGCUAAAUAAUGAUGUUUUCCACAAGGUAAAAAAGGAACUUCAUGAGAGAAUUUAUGUGCUUUAACAAUGACAGCUAGAUAUAAGAAUAGACAGCCAGAUAUCAUUAAGUGUUGAAGACUGAAGCUAAGAUGAGUUUGCAAGGAAACAGCUGGGCCUCAGGUGGAAAAUGUAUUUGCGUGACAUAUUCUGUGGAGAUACUACUUAAAUUUGGUUUUCUGGAGAUUACCCAAGAAGAGGUGAUGAAUGACAAGAGAAGACAGAAAUCAAAGGAAUAGGGAGGAAGAGGAAAGUAAUAAGAAGGAUCUAAAGAGAAAGAAGCAUGGUAGAAGGGCAACUAAGAAAUAAAAUAAGCAUAAAAUCCAAGAAGAGGAGCUAGGAAAAAAAUUACUGCAGAUUUCAAAAGCAGUUGGCUUGUGAGGAACUGAUGAGAGAAAGUAGACCUUCUGAGCUUUUGUCUGUUAGGGACUUUAGGCAGAGUGAAUUUGAUACACUACCAGGCUGGGAAGUAUCCAGGACUGGAGAACUCCAAACGCUGACACUGAGGUGGAAGUCAAAAAGAUAAAAGACGGAGGUUGAUGAGUUAAGUGGAUUUAAAGGUGACAUUUUUAGGAUGCAAGGGAAUAAUAGAUUAUUGUGAUGCAGUAGAAGGAGAGUGAACCAUUAAGGGGAAGAAUACAGGACUGUUUGGAAGAAUCUGAUAUUGUACCUUUCUUGCUAUUUAAUAGGAAAUGACGUUGUUCUGUUGGGAAAUAUAUCACAAAUAAACAAUAAAAAAGCACCUUAAUAUAUCUAUAUGUAUAGUGAUACAUUCUAUGUAGAAAAAGAUUAUCAUUUCUUUAUUCAGCUGCCUACCAGUAACAUAAGCUGGUUCCUGUUAUUUUUCAUGUUCUCUUUUACUAUUUUCUUCCCCUUAAAGUGUUACCAUGCAUUAUACACCUUAUUUUCCUGAAAAAUCUAGUGGCAUAUGUGCAGUGUCAAAUGAUGAUACCUUCUGCUUAGCAUAUAAAUAUAUAGGUAUUGACUCUGAUUCUGUGGAAGCUGCAAACUUUGACUACUCAGCAUUUCUAAAAAUCAAAUCUUUCAAAUGCCUGAAUGUGGAUUUAAUUUUCUAACUGGAAGGUAAUGUUUUCAAAUAAGAUGUGUCAAAGUAUAUUCCAAAACGGAAUCUACGAAGUUAAAGCAAAGAUGAGAUGAAAUUUAGAUCUUUGAGCUCAGUGUGGGCAGUAUUUUCCCUAUAGAACUCAAAUAGGGAUCUGAUGUACCACUUAAGUGACUAAGUUUUAAAUGUGUUUGGAUAGUGUUACUGCAUCUGCCCGUAAGCUGAGUAUUUAGAUAGAUAUUUUCUGCAUGUACUUGAUUUGAUAUUCACAAAUCUGAUGAAGAUCCGAGGCUGGAGUGGGUUCAGCAUUUGUGUAUGUCUUCUAACAGAAGUAGGG